AGUGAACGCUGGCGGUAGGCCUAACACAUGCAAGUCAAACGGCAGCACAGUGAGAGCUUGCUCUUACGGGUGGCGAGUGGCGGACGGGUGAGGAAUACAUCGGAAUCUACUUUUUCGUGGGGGAUAACGUAGGGAAACUUACGCUAAUACCGCAUACGACCUACGGGUGAAAGCAGGGGAUCUUCGGACCUUGCGCGAUUGAAUGAGCCGAUGUCGGAUUAGCUAGUUGGCGGGGUAAAGGCCCACCAAGGCGACGAUCCGUAGCUGGUCUGAGAGGAUGAUCAGCCACACUGGAACUGAGACACGGUCCAGACUCCUACGGGAGGCAGCAGUGGGGAAUAUUGGACAAUGGGCGCAAGCCUGAUCCAGCCAUACCGCGUGGGUGAAGAAGGCCUUCGGGUUGUAAAGCCCUUUUGUUGGGAAAGAAAAGCAGCAGGUUAAUACCCCGCUGUUCUGACGGUACCCAAAGAAUAAGCACCGGCUAACUUCGUG
rnacentral:rRNA from 1 species